AAGCGAGCGCAGGCGGAAAAAUAAGUCUAAUGUGAAAGCCCUCGGCUUAACCGAGGAACUGCAUCGGAAACUGUUUUUCUUGAGUGCAGAAGAGGAGAGUGGAACUCCAUGUGUAGCGGUGAAAUGCGUAGAUAUUAGGAGGAACACCGGUGGCGAAGGCGACUUUCUGGACAAUAACUGACGUUGAGGCACGAAAGUGUGGGGAGCAAACAGGAUUAGAUACCCUGGUAGUCCACACCGUAAACGAUGGAUACUAGGUGUAGGGAAUGAUUUCAUUUUCUGUGCCGUCGCAAACGCAAUAAGUAUCCCACCUGGGGAGUACGGCCGCAAGGUUGAAACUCAAAGGAAUUGACGGGGGCCCGCACAAGCAGUGGAGCAUGUGGUUUAAUUCGACGCAACGCGAAGAACCUUACCAAGGCUUGACAUAUACAGGAAUAUGUUAGAAAUAAUAUAGCUCUUCGGAGCUUGUAUACAGGUGGUGCAUGGUUGUCGUCAGCUCGUGUCGUGAGAUGUUAGGUUAAGUCCUGCAACGAGCGCAACCCCUGUGAUUAGUUGCCAACAGGUUAAGCUGGGAACUCUAAUCAGACUGCCGGUGAUAAAUCGGAGGAAGGUGGGGAUGACGUCAAAUCAUCAUGCCCUUUAUGUCUUGGGCUACACACGUACUACAAUGGCUGUAACAGAGAGAAGCAACACCGCGAGGUAGAGCGAAACUCGAAAAGCAGUCUCAGUUCGGAUUGAAGGCUGAAAUUCGC
rnacentral:rRNA from 1 species